AACGUAGGUAACCUGCCCAUGUGUCUGGGAUAACUGCUGGAAACGGUAGCUAAAACCGGAUAGGUAUACAGAGCGCAUGCUCAGUAUAUUAAAGCGCCCUUCAAGGCGUGAACAUGGAUGGACCUGCGGCGCAUUAGCUAGUUGGUGAGGUAACGGCCCACCAAGGCGAUGAUGCGUAGCCGGCCUGAGAGGGUAAACGGCCACAUUGGGACUGAGACACGGCCCAA
rnacentral:rRNA from 1 species